rnacentral:rRNA from 1 species
CGCGUAGGCGGUCUUGUAAGUCAGAUGUGAAAGCCCGGGGCUCAACCCCGGAAGUGCAUUUGAUACUGCGAGACUUGAGUAUGGGAGGGGGGAAGUGGAAUUCCUGGUGUAGAGGUGAAAUUCGUAGAUAUCAGGAGGAACACCAGUGGCGAAGGCGACUUCCUGGACCAAUACUGACGCUGAUGCGCGAAGGCGUGGGGAGCAAACA